rnacentral:lncRNA from 1 species
UGGACGAUCAGUGCAUUUGGAUGGGGACAUGUAGUUGGAACCCCCUCCCCUUUUGUCCAGGGUUAGGAUCCCCCUUUUUAAAAUGGCUGGACCCGCCCCUGCCGCUUUCAUAACACUUCUUUUUAGCAUACUGAAUAUUAUGAUGUUCUUACUAUUAGUUCAGGUCCUGAUAAAAAAAAAUACACAUUCAGUACAGAAAGAAGUG